AGAGAUGUGUGAUGACGCAUAUCAAUAAGCGGAGGAAAAGAAACUAACUAGGAUUCCCUUAGUAACGGCGAGUGAAGCGGGAAGAGCUCAAAUUUGAAAUCUUCAAGGUUCUACCUUGACGAAUUGUAGUUUAUAGAAGUGUUUUCUGUUAGUAGGAGUGGCAAAAGUUCUUUGGAAUAGGACAUCAUAGAGGGUGAGAAUCCCGUAUUUGGGUCAUUCCUUCCUAGCGUUGUGAUACACUUUCAACGAGUCGGAUUGUUUGGGAAUGCAGUCCAAAAUGGGUGGUAAAUUUCAUCUAAAGCUAAAUAUUGGCGAGAGACCGAUAGCGAACAAGUACCGUGAGGGAAAGAUGAAAAGAACUUUGAAAAGAGAGUUAAACAGUACGUGAAAUUGUCAAAAGGGAAGCGUUUGACACCAGUGUUGUUUUUCCGAAAAUCAAUUACGAAUGUUUUGUUUUUGAGAAGUUAUGACUUCAUCGGCUUGCUUCUCUCUUUACGAAACUUUCUUAAUGCACUUUUCGGUUAACAAGUCAACAUCAAUUUCUUUUGUUGUAAAGGGUAUGAGGAAGGAGGCUUUCUUUUCGGAGAAAGUGUUUAUAGCCUUGUACCUCUGCAAUCGGAGAGAUUGAGGUCUGCAGCGUAGAUCCUUCGGGGUUAGAUACAUUUGUGCUAAGUUAUAGCUUUUCAUAGACAACUUGUUGACUAUGUUAAGUCUUGUAGCUUACUCGCUUAUGCUACUUUACCUACGCUUAGGAUGUUGAAGAUGUAGCACAUCA
rnacentral:rRNA from 1 species